UCGUCCAACCUGGGAAACGACAGGCCAGUUCCUGGAUUCCGAUGUCGGCCUAGAAAGCGGCUAAGUAGUUUGCUUGUGGCUAACUCAAGGAGGACUAAAACGACCCACACACACCACAGGGAAGACAACUCUACACGUCGACAUUAGGGUACCUCCAGCAGUAAAUCCACAGCGCUAGGGCAUGAAGAAGGAGCUGGAACCAAUGAAAAGAAGAGGGCUGGCAUGUGUCCAUCUACAUGACGCCCAAGCUGUGUGUGACUUUCCUUAAGGGAUGCAGAAUGAGAGAGGAGAGCGUUCUGCAGAGAAGCUGGAGGUGGGAAAGGUCCCUGCUACACCCAUCCCAAAGCAAGCACAGUGGCACCUUGCUGAGCUCCAUUGGGCUUCUUUAUGGAAUGAGUUGAUUCUGUCAUUGUAUCAACAGACCAAGUGAAAACUGAAACAGGCUCUUGGAUGAUUUUUUUUUUUUUUUUUUUUACCUUUUUAAAAGCCUUUAAACACAAGGACAUUAACUGGUUAACAAUUUUUUUUGACAACUUAAA